AUUGAACGCUGGCGGCAGGCCUAACACAUGCAAGUCGAGCGGAUGAAGGGAGCUUGCUCCUGGAUUCAGCGGCGGACGGGUGAGUAAUGCCUAGGAAUCUGCCUGGUAGUGGGGGAUAACGUCCGGAAACGGGCGCUAAUACCGCAUACGUCCUGAGGGGGAGAGUGGGGGAUCUUCGGACCUCACGCUAUCAGAUGAGCCUAGGUCGGAUUAGCUAGUUGGUGGGGUAAAGGCCUACCAAGGCGACGAUCCGUAACUGGUCUGAGAGGAUGAUCAGUCACACUGGAACUGAGACACGGUCCAGACUCCUACGGGAGGCAGCAGUGGGGAAUAUUGGACAAUGGGCGAAAGCCUGAUCCAGCCAUGCCGCGUGUGUGAAGAAGGUCUUCGGAUUGUAAAGCACUUUAAGUUGGGAGGAAGGGCAGUAAGUUAAUACCUUGCUGUUUUGACGUUACCAACAGAAUAAGCACCGGCUAACUUCGUG
rnacentral:rRNA from 1 species